GUUGGGGUUAGUGUUGCUCAGUUCUUUAGUUUUCUAUGCUGUGUGUUUUGCCAUGGUGUUGUAUUUUUUUUUUCUUAUGAGUUUAAAUGUAAAUUUGAUAUCCCCUUAUCUCUUAUUUAACAUACGGUACGAUUAUUUUGGAACAAGUGAAAAGGAAAACACUAUAAACAUAUCAGAUUCACAUAUACACGUAAAACAAACAAG
rnacentral:lncRNA from 1 species